AUUGAACGCUGGCGGCAGGCCUAACACAUGCAAGUCGGGCGCGCGGCGGACGGGUGAGUAAUGUAUGGGGACUGCCUGAUAGAGGGGGAUAACUCCUGGAAACGGUGGCUAAUACCGCAUACUAUCGGAUAACCCAUAUGGGAUUAGCUAGUAGGUGGGGUAAAGGCUCACCUAGGCGACGAUCUCUAGCUGGUCUGAGAGGAUGAGCAGCCACACUGGGACUGAGAAACGGCCCAGACUCCUACGGAGGCAGCAGUGGGGAAUAUUGCACAAUGGGCGCAAGCCUGAUGCAGCCAUGCCGAGUGUACGAAGAAGGCCUUAGGGUUGUAAAGUACUUUCAGCGGGGAGGCGUUACCCGCAGAAGAAGCACCGGCUAACUCCGGGCCAGCCGCCGCGGUAAUUC
rnacentral:rRNA from 1 species